GAUGAACGCUGGCGGCGUGCCUAAUACAUGCAAGUCGAGCGAACAGACGAGGAGCUUGCUCCUCUGACGUUAGCGGCGGACGGGUGAGUAACACGUGAUAACCUACCUAUAAGACUGGGAUAACUUCGGGAAACCGGAGCUAAUACCGGAUAAUAUAUUGAACCGCAUGGUUCAAUAGUGAAAGACGGUUUUGCUGUCACUUAUAGAUGGAUCCGCGCCGCAUUAGCUAGUUGGUAAGGUAACGGCUUACCAAGGCAACGAUGCGUAGCCGACCUGAGAGGGUGAUCCGCACUACAGGAGCUGAGAGACGGACCAAACUCCAAGCGGAGACGACAGUAGGGAAUCUUCCGAAAAGGGCGAAAGCUUGACGGAGCAACGCCGCGUGAUUGAGGAAGGGCUUCGUGUCAUAAAACUCUGUUAUUAGGGAAAAACAAAUGUGUAAGUAACUAUUCACGUGUUAACAGUACCUAAUCAGAAAGCCACGGCUAACUCCGUG
rnacentral:rRNA from 1 species